AUCCCACCUCUGCCACCA
rnacentral:miRNA from 2 species